AGAUCCCAAGCAUGGAGGAAAAUUGUCAACAGGCCGAAUUUGUUUAGGAAGAUCUGCUAGCAACCGAGUAACACCUACAAAAUAUGUUUAGACAUUUUGAGGCCAGCUCAAGAGGGAGAGAUGAAAGGUGCAGCUACUAUGUAUAGUGUUGUGACUAGAACCACUGGUGCUGCUAAUACCAUCAUUGAUGUCAGCACCAUCAGUGCCGCCCUGCCACCUCCAUCUUGUGAUAGCUCCUAAAAUGUUUUUAAUAUAUCUAUCAAUUUGGAAGAAAACUCAACCAUGUUGUAUUCAGUUUCCUUCUACUAUGGCAGAUGGCUGAAACUCUUUAUAUAUUUGAAAAGCGUGUAUUGAUGUUUUCAUUAAAGAAUAAAAAACA